rnacentral:piRNA from 1 species
UCAGAUUUGUUUAAUCAAGAAAUGGCCCC